GGCAAGGUAGCUCAGUUGGUUAGAGCACAGCACUCAUAAUGCUGGGGUCGGCAGUUCGAAUCUGCCCCUUGCUA
rfam:Endosymbiont of Tevnia jerichonana (vent Tica) TevJSymaa, whole genome shotgun sequence.